CAGGAAGUGAUGUCACAGCAGAUGACACCACAGGGCCCAUGGUGGCGCUGGUUCAGUCACCUGUUCAGCAGGUAAACAGUCUACACAUCUUCAUCGGACACACACUCAGACUCUCCCUCAUCAUCUUCAUUCCUGCUCUGCUGCUGACAGCUGCUUAUAGAGUGUGGCGGUCCAAUCGGAGAGCAACGACUGACCGGAGGCUGAACCAAUCAGAAGAGGAGGACAGCUCAGUGUAGACACACAGGGAUCACAUG